GUGUAUGUGGAUUUGUUUGCCUGCGCAAAAUGCGCUUAUGUGGCCCCUACUGAUUAUUAUUUGAGUGUAAAGUUCCAAAUAGAGUUUGUGCAUGGUCACGUGUGUGUGUGAUUGUUAUGACCACCUCCGCCUUUUACAAGAGGAGACAAUCCAAAAAAAUUCAGUGGAAUAGAAUUUAUUCCAGAUGUCAUAGGGAGGGUCACCUCUCCCUUCUUUUUCUACAGUCUUGUAUUGAUGUGUAGAUCCAACUUGAGUUUAGCUUUCAGGUUAUUAUCACUAAGAAGCAUUUAUUAUGACCCAUUUGUCCUGUUAAAUGUGUCUAACGUGGGUUCCCCUCAAUUUAUGAGUAGAUUUUUUGUUAACUCAUCUGCUUGUUUGUGGUGUGUUUUCUCAGAAUGCAUGGUCAUCACUGGGUGACAAACAACUCUGUUUAGUACUCCUUUAUUUUUUUCUACAUCAGUUUCAGCCUUAAAAGACACUUCACUGUGGUUUAGGAGUUUGCCUGUAUGCACAGAGGCACCCAACAGACUGAACUACGAUACCACCUGAAAAUUAUACAAAAACAAAUAUUAGCCCGUGAAUAGGAAUUGUGAUGAUCAACUAUAACCACUUCUUACACUGAUUAGUUUGAAAUAAUAGUGAUUCUUAAAAUUCGCACAGAAAGCCCUGUUUGAGUAAUAAUCCCUCAGCAAAAUGUGUAUCUUCUCGUCUUUGUUUUCAAUUCCUGUGCUAAAUGUACUAGGUUAGGAGGUGCUGCUCUUUAGCUGAACCCGACCUUUGACCUCCCAUGCUGAGAAGAUUGAACAGAUAAAAGAACCAUUAGAAUAAAGGCAUUGCAGUAGAAACAAAGCAAUCAUAGUAAAUUAAACUUAAGAGCCAUUAACUCAAUACGGUUUCCCCCUUCACGUAAAAAAUGUGAGCACACAAACCAAAGCAAAAAUAAAUGCCACAAGGUUUAGUUUGCAUUAAAUGUUAUACUUGUCUAUGAAUAGAUCGGGCCUGAUGCCAAGUGCAGUCAGGAAAGUAUUCACAGGGUAUAAAUAAUAUUGAGGCAACAUGCAGAGAGGAAGGAGGCCAGAAGUGAGAAGUGAUUCCCAUUCAUGUGAACUGGUGACACUGGCCAUGUCCUCACAUAUGGAGGCUGACAGGAGAGGGAUCAGGAAGGGACCUGGCUGGCUCCAUUUGUUUAGUCCCUUUCACUUGACAUGUAAGGGUAUACAGACAGACGCACGCACGCACGCACGCACACGCACACACACACACACACACACAGAGUAUCAGCCCUAUUUGGUUUGGUGUCAGGAAGUCCAAGGAAGCAGGAAGCAAUGUGUGGCAAUAUGGGCCUGCAAGCCUUACAAAAAUGUUGGGCAGCAGGGUGAGGGGUGUAUACAGAAGGGUGGAUAGUGGAGACACUACCCCUGGGGUCAUCUAUUUAAACCAAGUUAGCUGUGAGGCAUUGUGUGUAUACCCUGCCUGCCAUUUGCUCCGUGAAAAAUUCCAGCAUGAGAGAUGCUCUGUUGCUGAGCUUCGGAUGGGCAGAGAGAUAAAAUCCCGCCACAGCCUAAACGUUCAUGGUGGAGCGGUGCCAUUUUCGCCAGAGCUUGGACCCCGUCAUACCCCUGCUUGCAGUUCUAGUUAUUAUAUUGAUUUUGUACAUUUAUAACAUACAAGAUGUUUUUUCAGUUUUGUAGCCGAUUGUGACUUAUUUGUUUACAUUAUAUAUGAUAUAUUUAAAAAUAUGACCACAGGCCAUUGUGAAAGGGGCUUUAGUGGAACAAACUGUAAUUCGUACAAUAAAUUAAAAGUAUCUGUCUA